UGACAGUGAAAGAACAGAAACCGAGCAAUAAGACUGCACGGCUACGUUUUCCAGAGCCACCAGCUGGGAGUUAAGUUGACUAAGGUUGUGAAAGCCCAGCCCAUUUGGAUCACAGCAGGCAUGGCAGG
rfam:Myotis brandtii contig298508, whole genome shotgun sequence.